ACAGGCAUCUUACACUUUUUGGACAAGACAGAGAGAAGAUAUUGUUGUCUGUUGGUCUGCACAGUUUGCUCUGGUGUCUUAAGAGGACUGAAGAGGUAGCUGAAAGCAUAGGCAUCAGUGGGGUUCAUAAUAUUCUCAUACGAUGGCAGUAAGUCAUUUCACAUG